rnacentral:rRNA from 1 species
GGACAACCUGCCCUUAGGACGGGGAUAAACCCGGGAAACUGGGUAUAAUACCCGAUAGGUCUCGAUUGCUGGAAUGCAUCGAGAUUUAAAGCUCCGGCGCCUAAGGAUGGGUCUGCGGCCUAUCAGGUAGUAGUGGGUGUAGCGUACCUACUAGCCUACGACGGGUACGGGUUGUGAGAGCAAGAGCCCGGAGAUGGAUUCUGAGACACGAAUCCAGGCCCUACGGGGUGCAGCAGGCGCGAAAACUUUACAAUGCUGGCAACAGCGAUAAGGGAACCUCGAGUGCCAGGUUACAAAUCUGGCUGUCGAGAUGCCUAAAAAGCAUUUCAUAGCAAGGGCCGGGCAAGACCGGUGCCAGCCGCCGCGGUAACACCGGCGGCUCGAGUGGUAACCGUUAUUAUUGGGUCUAAAGGGUCUGUAGCCGGCCGGAUAAGUCUCUUGAGAAAUCUGGCAGCUUAACUGUCAGGCUUUCAGGAGAUACUGUCUGGCUCGAGGCCGGGAGAGGUGAGAGGUACUUCAGGGGUAGGGGUGAAAUCUUGUAAUCCUUGAAGGACCACCAGUGGCGAAGGCGUCUCACCAGAACGGACCUGACGGCAAGGGACGAAAGCUAGGGGCACGAACCGGAUUAGAUACCCGGGUAGUCCUAGCCGUAAACGAUACUCGCUAGGUGUCGGCCACGGUGCGACCGUUGUCGGUGCCGUAGGGAAGCCGUGAAGCGAGCCACCUGGGUAGUACGGCCGCAAGGCUGAAACU